rnacentral:lncRNA from 1 species
UGGACGGACUGGAUUGAUGUGAGUUACCCAAAUGGUUCCGACAAGAACAGUGGUGACUACGAAACCUUUGAGAACAUUGGGCAGAAAUACCCCUCCUGGGAGUGUGCAAAAGUUGAGAAUAUUUCAUGCCGAGCACAGAAAUUCCCUAACAUUCCUAUUGCAGAUUUAGGGCAGAAAGUGGAAUGUAGUGUAGAUGUAGGGCUCAUCUGUAACAACAAAGAUCAACCAAUAGGAGGUAUAAUUCCAAUGCCAGUCUGCCUCAACUACGAGAUCAGUGUCUGCUGCACCCCCAACUACCCAGAGUGUUUUCCAUCUCCCACCCCGACCACCACUACAACUACCACAACACCGAUCAGCACGACCCCUCCCACUACCACUACCACCACAGGAGGACCAACAACAACAACAACUGUUACAACAACAACCAGCACAGAGAGCACAACAUCCUCUACAACGGAAUUGCCAACCAUUUCCUCAUCACCAGAGACUCCCACCACGACCACCGGUACAACUACCACCACACCCACCAGCACCACUACCUCUCCCACCACCACAACCAGUGGACCAACGACAACAACUGUUGCAACAACAACCACCACAGAGAGCACAGCAUCCCCUACAACGGAAUUGUCAACCAUUUCCUCAUCACCAGAGACUCCCACCACGACCACCGGUACAACUACCACCACACCCACCAGCACCACUACCUCUCCCACCACCACAACCAGUGGACCAACGACAACAACAACUGUUACAACAACGCCCCCCCCAGGUAUGUUCCAAAACCAAAUAAUUCCUGCUAAAAGCCCUGUGCCUCCAACUACAGUAGCAACAGA